rnacentral:lncRNA from 1 species
GCUGGGCCCUGUAAGAAGUUUGCCAGGAGGUCCCCAGAAGUAGAAGGACCAUAGCAAUGAACUGUCUUCCUACCCAAUUCAUAUAUUCAGCCCUUGUUUCUACUGAGAUAUGUCUCCAGCCAUUAAGUUGUCUCUGGUCAUGGAGUUUCAUCACAGCAAUAGGAACCCUAAGACAUACAUACCUGUAAUCUGGAAUUGGACGUGGGAGGACCGAGAGUUCAAGGUCACUCUUGGUUAUUUAAUGAGACUGAGGUUAGCCUGGACUACACAGGACCUCUUUUGCCAAAAAUGAAACAAACAAGCAAACAAAAAAAUAGCAAAUCUGAGACAGUUUUUUUUUUUUUUAUGUUCUAGCUGCCACACAUUUGGAAAACUUGUAUAUUUAUGUAAAGCUCCAAUAUCCAGUCUCAAGGAUGACUCAGUAUGGUAAAGACCCUCGCUGCCAGGCUUGAUGACUUACGCUUGAGUCCUGGAUCCCACAUGGUGGAAAAGUCAACUUUCACAAGUUUUUGACCUUCACAGUAGUCACAUACAAACAACAAAACCCUAGUUUGGGACCGUAGAGAUGGCUCAGCCAUCGUCUGUUGAGAGCCCUUCACAUAGCUUCUCACAACUGCCUGUAACUCCUGUUUCCAGGGAGUUGGUGCACAUGUAUAAC